CCCUUAGAUGUCCUGGGCCGCACGCGCGCUACACUGAGUGUCUGAGAUACGAGUCUGCCUAGCCGGCGAGGUCUAGGUAAUCGCUGAAAGACACAUCAUGCUUGGGAUAGAUUAUUGCAGAUAUUAAUCUUGAACGAGGAAUUCCUAGUAAGCGCAAGUCAACAGCUUGCGUUGAUUACGUCCCUGCCCUUUGUACACACCGCCCGUCACUACUACUGAUUGGAUGUUAAAGCGAGGUUCUCGAACUGCUAGCGACUUAGCUUCGGUGAGGUCGCCGUGUGGGAAGUGAACCUAGCUUUGGUGUCUAGAGGAAGUAAAAGUCGUAUCA
rnacentral:rRNA from 1 species